rnacentral:rRNA from 1 species
CGUAGGGUGCUAACGUUGUUCGGAAUCACUGGGCAUAAAGAGCGCGUAGGCGGUCUGAUAAGUCAGGUGUGAAAUCCCCCGGCUCAACCGGGGAACUGCACCUGAUACUGUUGGGCUUGAGUGCAGGAGGGGAGAGCGGAAUUCCUGGUGGAGCGGUGAAAUGCGUAGAUAUCAGGAGGAACGCCGGCGGCGAAAGCGGCUCUCUGGCCUGUUUCUGACGCUGAGGCGCGAAAGCUAGGGGAGCAAACGGGAUUAGAUACCCUGGUAGUCCUAGCCCUAAACGAUGGGUACUAAGUAGAGGAAAUUCCGAUAUUUUCUCUGCCGGAGCUAAUGUAUUAAGUACCCCGCCUGGGGAGUAUGGUCGCAAGGCUA